rnacentral:rRNA from 1 species
CCCUUAGAUUGUCUGGGCGGCACGCGCGCUACAAUGAUGCAUUCAAAAAGUCUUCUGACCUUAGAAGGUUGGGUAUUCUCCAAAGUGCAUCGUGAUGGGAAUAGUUUAUUGCAAUUUUUAAUCUUGAACGAGGAAUUCCUAGUAAGUACAGGUCAUCAACUUGUGUUGAUUACGUCCCUGCCCUUUGUACACACCGCCCGGCGCUCCUACUGAUUGAGUGUCUCGGUGAAUUCGUUGAUCUUCUGUCGAUUCAGUUCACUGAUCCGACGGUGGAAAGUUGAAUGAACUUCGUCACUUAGAGGAAGGAGAAGUCGUAACA